ACAAAACAAAAUGAAAGUUAAUGUUGCUGUCUUCAUUGCUUGAUAAUAACAAUUAGGGACAGAAUUGAAUACGUAAGCCAUUUAUAAAAAUCAACAAAAAAAAUAUCAAUCAACACAUUUUUUUAAUAAUCUUCUUAAGCAUGUAUGAAGGGAAAGAGAUCAGAUCACAACUUGAUGGGAAUGAACAAGAAUGGCCAAAUUAUUUAAAUUCUUAAUCUCCUACUAGGCCUGAGGCAGGAGUCAAAUAAUAUUUUAUCUUUUUACUCUUAUCUUCAUAUAUUAAAAACAGAAUACAAAAUUAGUUUUUUCUUUAAAAAUUGGACACUAUCAGCAAGGCAAACAACUUGCAUAUUCUGCAUCAUUCUAGAUAUACUUGUAUGAAUUGAUCCAUUUCAAGGGAAGAACUUUGAAUUGCGUGAAAGGACAAACACCUCUUAUCAAUCUCCAUGAUAAGCUCAAGUGAUAAGUGUGAUAUAAAAUUAGACAGAGAAAAAGAAAGGUUCACAUUAUGUCAUGCCCAACGUUAUAUAAAAAAUAUAUUGGGCAAAUGAUAUAGGGAAUAUACAAGUAAAUAAAAUUAGAACAUAUCAAACAGAUAAUAAACAAGAACAAUCACUACAAUAUGCACAACUAUAUUUCUAUGUUCUUCAUAAUCUUAAACAACAUUCCCAAGGACAGUCCUUUGCAUGUCCUUUGCAUUUUUGAGAAAAUGGUUGGAUUUCUCAUUCUAAAUCUCUAUCUGAAGCCCCAUUUUCAUCAGCAGAAUCAAUCCUUCAGAAGGAUUUUGAGAGAGUUAUUAAGUUUUUGAAAGUGACAUGUCUUCCAAUGAAAGACAAUGUCCAGAAAUGAUCUUCAUUUUCCUCCCCUUUUGGCUUUCAGACUAUACCUGAACAAAUGCAUCAGUUAAAACAAGCUGAAUGGAUUUGAAGGAUAAACUAUAAUCACAAGAAAAUAUAAUAAUGCAUUGCUCAGAUUUUCGUAAUACUUUCAUUAAAAAACUAACUCUUCACUAAAUGAAUAUAAAUAUUAAAAUAGAUGAGAUCACAUAAUUGUGAAUUCAAAUAUACACCAGCAUAAAUUGUGGCUACUUUCAGAGAGGGCAUGAUCCAAACAGGUUGCAAAAGAAUAAAAUAAUUUGACUAGUAUCAAUACCAAGUUUAUAAUUUACAACAUGAUGAACCAACCGUGAUACUAUCAUUAAUUAUUAAUAUUAAUCAUUAUCCAUAAAAUUUAAAGAAUAUUUUUUUCAUAUUUAUUACUUCACAAGCAAUAUUUAACAGAAUGAGGUUCUUUUCUUUCUCUCAAACUAUGCUAUACAUUUACAAUGUAUAAAAUAGUGUUGUGAAAGUUUUAAAUAUUAGAUUCAAUACUUUAAAAUAACAUUAUAUUUCACUUGUUUUAUAAUGUUAAGAUAAGUGUAUUGAGUUAAUAAAAGUGUCUCAUAAUCUCUUGAUUGGGUCAGAUUUUGAUUGGGGGAAAAAAAGAAAGCAUUGUUAAAAAGGAAUAGCUGAAAUUCAAGAACAUAUAGCUGCUUGAAAUUUGAAGGAACCACAAAAAAAGUUCCCUCAAUCGUGAAUCAAUAGCCGAUUAUAUAUAGGCACCAUGCAAAAGGUUGUUUGUUUUGAGAUUCGGCAACAAACACCCGUGUCUGACUUAAGUGCCAACAACAAUUGACAAAAAAAAACAAAAAAUUUGACCAGAAUUUUGUGUCUUGAAACAAAAGGGGUUGUUUUCAAGGAUCUUCAUCUGGUGUUUUCAUCUUGGCUCUAAGCGGCAGUCAGGUAACUAUUGUAGAAGCCCCUGCUGUUGACUCUUAAUAUAGAGCCUUAACCAUUUUCUCUUCCUAAUUCUUAUUCGCAUUGCUAUAACUAGGGUUACUUCCAUGACAAAAAAAAUACUCAAUAACACAAAAACACCUGCAUUGAUAGAAAUUUUACUAAACUUUUGGAUUGGAGAGGAAAAAAGAGAAGAAAAACUCACCUCACUGAUUGAACAAAUUGUGUCAGUGCCAUCAAAAGCUGAUGGUGAAAUUGGUGUGGCCACAGCUGUAUAUAUAUAUAUAUAUGUAAAUACUUGUGCUGUAAACCCUAAUGUUCGUUUCGGCGUGAAAUUUGCGAAAGACCGUUCAAAAGAUCCGAAUAGUUUGGGCCAGCUAACUUUCUCGGCCUGCGAUUUGGAUUCUGUUUAGGAUAUUACUUUCUGCACCCAAUCAAUUGCUUCCUGCACCCGCCAAACUUUGUAAAAUCCCAUUAUGCCCUUGUCUUCUUUAUUUUGAAAAAUGGUGUAGGAUGC
rnacentral:lncRNA from 1 species